GGAGAGGUGGCCGAGUGGUCGAAGGCGCGCCCCUGCUAAGGGCGUAUAUGCUCAAAACGCGUAUCGAGGGUUCGAAUCCCUCCCUCUCCGCCA
rnacentral:tRNA from 1 species